CCAAAUAAAGCCAUAUUGCCCUAAAGGGACCUGGACCUCUAGUGUUUAAGUCAGGGAUUUGCCUACAGUGAAGGGACCACAGUGGAUAGGGUGCCCGGCUUAGAUUCGACUCCCUGACUACUCCACUGGAUGGGAUCUGCACCACUUUUGAGGUAUAUCUGCCUGGAGAUCUAUCUUACUACCUUGACUACAUUCGCAGGGGAGUCACAUUCUCAGCUGUCUCAUCCAACUGUUUUAGCCUGCUGAUGUUAAUCUGCAUAUGCCUCAUUUCUUUAACUGAUCUGACUUUGACUUGUAGUUCCAAAAGGGAAGCCUGAAGAUGUGAGGUGCCAUUGAAAAAAAAGAAAGGGACAGAUUUUGCCUGCUUGGGACCAGCAGAUUAAGGAGGCAGUACCCCUUCUGGAACAUUUGUUGGAGUUUUUGGAUAAUUUGCAUCGAACAUUUGAUUUUGACCUUUGGAAUAUUUGGACUUUGUUUUUUAUGUUCAUUAUUUGGUUUCACACGCAACUGCCUUUAACUAGUUAGCGCCCCUUUCUCUCAUCUACAUAUGCAUUUAUAUGAAAUUUCUUUGCACCACAUGUACUAUAUGCUUUUUUUCACAAAGGCAUAUGCCACCCAUUGUGAUUACUCAUUGUGUGCCUAGCCGUAUGUUUUCAAUACACAGUUCACACUAGGUUUUCUUCAUUCAUGUUGUUAAAUUUGUCUGGACAGAGUUUUCACAUUAGCAAAGAUACCCCACAGAAACAGUUGAAUAUGCAAACAAGGCUAUCCUGAAAAACAAGAUGUAUGAAGCAUUGCCAGGCUAAUUACUCCAGUGAGCCGAACAAAACCAGACAGUUCCGAUCUGCCGUCAGACUUUAUUUUGCUUAUUUAAAAUUCACCUUUCUAGAAAGGUACUUAAAUCCCUUCUAACAAAACUGAUGCUUUAUGAGCAAGAGCGUCUAGUUUAUAAAGUCUAGGGAUCAGAAUAUCUUGUUUCAUUUUUACAUUGGCAAAUGAACAGACUUCAUAAUCUGUAACAUUAUGCACUUUUUAAUUCUCUUAUGUUACAAUAGCCGCUAGAUUUUAUAUAAUGCUGGAGAUCAUGCUAUUGGAAUAAAUAUUUAUGGGCCUCUUUUAAUUCUGACAUGUCUCUGCUAUAUAGAUAUUUUAGAAAUUAUAACCAUGUGUGUACAAUGAAAGCUUUACUGUUGCAGAAAAAAUGUCCUAGAGUGCAAUGAAUUUUGUAGGCAAAUUGCCAGAAUAAUAAUAAAGAAACACUAUUCAUUAUUAAUGACAGUUUCAAGUAGUUUCAGUAGUAUAGUAUAGUAUAUGAAAAACAAAAUGAACAAUGGUAAAUUUAUAGACUCAUUUUGUCACUAAUCUGUAGCAAGAAAGAUAUCAGCUAUUAUUUUUGAAAACACAUAACAUUCUAUUCUAUUCUAGAACAUAGUAUUUGUAAUCUUUAUUUUUAGGCAAUCAGCAUUGGAGUCCUCAGGCCAAACCUUCAUGUAGUUAUAGCACAGCUCAGUCCCUUUAGUGGUGGUUGUAUGCUUUUAAAAAUCAAGAGCUUUCAUCUAUAUAAAGCUACAGGGGGAGGCCAUUGUGCAAGUAAAGGUUGAGAAAAACUGUAAAUAGUUCAGGGAAAGACAGCCAAAUCAGUAUGGGAAUAAAUGUGACCAUGACCUCUUUUGUGGAAUUGGUACCAUUGCAAAAUGUA